rnacentral:lncRNA from 1 species
UGAGUUCUCCCAGUGGAAGUCUGAGAAGGCCAAGCUGAGCUCGAUGGCUGUCAGAAUCCUCAUUUACAUUGGAUGAACAGGGCGCAGUUUCCCCUGCUCCGGAGGAUGGUGGGGUGAGGUGGGAGCCCAGCCUGGGGGAGUGGGGGCAAUAGAAGCUGUGGGAGCAGCAGCCCCCCAGGGGCCAGGACCACGAAGCCUCCAGGGACGAGCAAGGAGGCCGCAGAGGGCCAGGCAUCAGAGUGGAGAGCAGACGCACAGGACACCCAGAGAGGCCCCUGCCCCUACCUCGCCCCCUCCAAGAACAUGCUCUUCCAGUGAAGUCACUGCAGCCCCACUCCCUCCCCACACGGAGGAGGAGGCAGCUUUAGGGUACCUAGGACACGAAGGUGACCAAGACACACCACUGUGGUCAAGGGGCGUGUGGCUGAGGACGACAUCUGUCAACCUCCCUUACCAUGACUCACGUUCAGAAAUCCACAGACAUACGCAUACAUGUGUCGGAAACAAAAGUGGCACCGACAGUUCUCUCAAAGGAGCCGUGUUCUGCGCAGACACCCGCAGCCCCUGUCCAACAUACAGCCAGCCCACCAUUGUUGGAGGUGUCCUAGGUACCCGGCUUCCUGCUCAAAGCUGCAGGCAAAGUGUUGGGGUCAUACAGGACUUGCCCGAGAACAGGAAACCCAAGUCAAACUGUGGAAGCUGUGAGGACAUCUGUUGGUUUCUGCAACUGGACGUCUGGAGGGAGUGUGAACUUCCGGUGGCAUCUGCUUCUCCCUUCCACUCCUGGGGCUCCAGCAUGGUGGGCCUCUCUCAGGAUGGGCUGGAGCACCGGCAGCUUCAGGCCUCAGGGGCCUUCGGCAACGUCCAGAGGAAGGAAACUGCCUCUUUCAGGAGCCUGUGGCACUAAGAGGAAGCCUUCUGCAGAUGCAGCCAGCAGGCUUCCCCACGGACCCCAGAGGCACAGCUGCUCCUGCCGGGAAGGGGUGUAAGUUCAACCACG